UUUGAAUUAGCAUGUGGUAAAAUUCGACUAUCGAUUCUGCUUGUUUACAAAGAGCUUGCAUAGAUGUUAUAAUUGAACAUGUGCACCUGAAUGUUGAGAUAUUAUAGUUCUCCAUGCUUUUGGAUUGUAAUAAUUCAGAAUGAUCGAAACAAGUUUCUCUAAGCCUUUCUUUGCAUGAAAAUAAAUAUGUAUAAAAAAUUCUCAAUAAUUCUAUUUAAACUUUGCAAAGGUAAUAGAACUACAGUUUACCUUAAUAUUACCAAGUUUAUUAAUUUUGAGCUUAAUUGAGUUGUGUAUAAGUCGUUAUAUUUUGUUAAGAAAAGUUGAACUUAAGCUGGCUGUUUAUGUCUUUUUUUUUUUUUUUUUUUUUUUUGUUUUUUUUUUUUUUUUUUUUUUUUUUUUUUGCUUUUCAUUCUCCAGAUAUUAGAGUAGUAGAAGCUGACAUGCUGGAUCUACCAUUUAGUGACGAGGCUUUUGAUGUGGUUAUAGAGAAGGGAACCAUGGUAAAAUCCGUAGUCUGAUCAGUUAUCAUUAAAGAUGCUGAAACAACGGAUCUUUUUCCUUUUAUCCAAAUUGUUAUUAUAAUAAUCAACCACCUUUUAUUUUCUCUUAAUUUGUCAAGUAUGUAUGUAUUUAAAUUUUGAAGGAUGUAUUGUUCGUGGACAGUGGUGAUCCAUGGAAUCCACGACCUGCAACCUUAGAUAAGGUUAUGGCAAUGCUUAAAGGUGUUCAUAGGGUUCUGAAGCCAGAUGGUGUAUUUAUCUCAAUUACUUUUGGUCAGGUAGUAGGAAUAGAAACAUAAUUAUUAUAUUUUGUGUUUCUUACUACGACAGAAGUGAGACUUCCAAAUGUGCAGAACUUGCUGAUUUGUAAUUAUCAUGUCAUACAGCCACAUUUCAGGCGACCGAUAUUUUGUGCUCCAGACUUCAACUGGUCCAUGGAGUGGAGUACAUUUGGUGAUGGAUUUCAUUAUUUCUUUUAUAUAUUAAAGAAGGUUAGUGCCACGUUUGUGCCAUUCCUUUUAUAACCUUUUGGGAUGCUUGAUAGCAUAACUUGUGCAAGGACAAGAUAAUCUUGUUGUCACAAUCUAUGAAAUCUUCCUAAAUCUGAUGAUAGUUGAUACAAGUAACUUGUGUGAGCACUUUAUUUUAGAGGGUGGGAGUUCCCAUUAAUUGGCUAUAUAGUAUUGCAAUGUUCAAAGAAUAUGUAGCGUGCUAUAUUACCUGGUGCAAAUAACAAUUUGUAUAUUUUCAGGGACAAAAAUUGCCAGACACUGAUCUAUGCACAAAAAAGAUCGAAACGCCGUCUAUUUCGAUGUUUCACGAUGAAUUAGACAAUGAAGACUACAUAUUCCGUACCAAUUUAGACGAGAUGGAAAGUUAGAACAGGCACGUAAUCCUUUUGCUGGUUUAAAAAAUAUUAAUAAUACACCUUCUGUUUCUUCUUUUUAAUUAUUCUCGUUUAAAGUGCUAUACCGUCUACAAGGCUCCUGGAAUCUAUUUUUUGAAAAUGAACAUUUUAUUGUCUUCAAUGAUCUCAAUUGUAAAUAGUUGUGGUCCCUUCCAACUUCCAUUUUUGCCUCCUUUUAUUUGAAUAAUAUGACUGUGGUAAUGUGAACAAAAACAUGAGUGUUGAUUCCUUUACCAUACAUAUUGUGCAGAAACUACUCCUAAGAGCCGGUGUAUUAUAUACAGUGCUUUGACUGCGUAUGUUCAAACUUCUAAUGUUAGAUACCGCUCAAGAAAUAAGAGGAUGAGACUAGAAAUGGCAUCUAAAGGAUAUCUUUGUGGCUGCUUCAUGAUUUUUGAAAGCCUCCUGUUAUUGCACCUGGAAAUCUUUUCAUUUUUAGCCAUUGUAAAACAUUGUCAAGUAAUUCAUUUAACACAUUUGUCUCGUUUUGAAACUAUUAAACAUGCAUUCCGAGUUUUUUGCAUUUGUUUAUGAAUGUUGUGUUCACCUGAAAGAAAUUGAUGGUGAAUAAGUACUUUCUCAUUUGAGAACCUAUACUGUCUCUUGAUAUCAUCCUUUCCCAAUGCCGCUUCGUGAUGGAAGCGGGGAAGGCAUGACGACAUUGCCCAAGUCAUGUGUGUUUCUUUAGAUUAACUAUCAGCUUACUUUUGCUGCAUUUAGUUUGUUUCAUUAGAUUAACUAUCACCUUAUCUUUGCUGUAUCUAGUUGUUUUUAUCAUCUUAUCAUCUUUCUGUUAUCUACUUAUAACAAUCUCUUAUUUCGUUUCCCCUGAUUUAUAACAAUUGAGAAGUGGUCAAGAUUGAGUAGGGGUACCAAAAUGAACCACCAUAAACGUGAUAAAAAAAGAGGAAGCAAACACAGCGUUGAGUUGACAUUAGAAGUUAUCAAGUGAUGCCCACUUCGUCUGGGAUGGACAAUUGGACCAAAUCCCAGAAAAGAGCAAAACCGCGCUAGAAGGAGGGCUUGAACCUCCGACCUUGUGGUUAACAGCCACACGCUCUAACCAACUGAGCUAUUCCAGCUUGAUGCAAAAUAUAAAAUGUGUUAGUAACGAUCUAUGAAGAAUGUCGUGACAUGUGAGAUAAUAGUUGGCUGUGAAAUGUGUAUAUAUGCGAACAAUUUUAUUUAUUUUUUACAUGAUGGGCCGGAUAUUAUGUAUGUUAUCAUCGGGUUGAAUCGGUUCGGAUAUUUGAGAUAUCCAAAUUCAAAUCCAAAUUAUUUUUAAAAUUCAAAUCCAAAUCCAAUCGGGUUUCACAUAUCAAAUCCAAAUCCAAAUCCACGAGUUUCGGAUCGGGUUCGGGUUUGUUCGGGUUUAUCCAAAACGUGAAUUCCGAAAUUUAUAUAGUAUUGUAAAAAUAUUAUUUUUGAUUUUUUCGCCCUUAAAUUUCAUUAUAUUUAAAACUAAACAACUUUAAUAAUAAAGUAUUACACAUUAAUAAAAUCUUGAACCGUAUUUAAUAAUUUCUGAACACAAAUCUUCACUAUAUGGAGUAUGAAAUAUUAAAGAAACUCAUUAGUUAUAUAUAUAUAUAUAUAUGAGUAAAGUUCUAUGGAGACCAUUUUUAUUGGAGACCGUAGAGACCACUUAUGUUCUGUAAUCAAAACACUAUAAAAUACAUUAUUUUGUGAAGUAUGUUCAACAAAUAUCAUGUAUUCAUUAAAAUUGUUGAAGAUCAUCUAUGUUUCAUAAGUAUAUAAUAUAUGUUCUGCAAGUUGAACAAUGUCCUGCAAACUAAAUAUAUUUCGUAGAAUAUAACAUUUUGUAAUGUUCUACAUGCGAAACUUAUAUGAUAUUCAAGAUUUUAAAGUAAAAUAAUGAUUUUGUACAACAUGAUAUGCAAAACUAUACGUUUUGCAAUGUUUUUAUGCAAUAUUUCACUUGCAGAACAUAAAUAGUCUCCACGGUCUCCAAUAAAAGUGGUCUCCAUAGAACUUUACUCUAUAUAUAUAUAUAUAUAGGGUAGCACUCCAUAGCAUGCCCUCUUAUAUGGAGUUACGUAGCACACCAUUAUAAAUAUAUACAUAAUAUAUAUUCUAUUAUACUUUCUAUGAAAUAUAAUUGCAAAUUUUGAUUAUUAAACCGAAAAUGAAGUUAUACAAUUUUUUUAUUCCAAAGAUCAUCUAAAAUUAUGCAAUAUUUCAACAUGAUUCUAUAACAGAAUAAUAAUCAUCCAGAAUUAUUCUGUUGUAGAAUCAGUUUCGAAAAUAUAUUUUUUUUAAUCAAAUUUUAAGUGUUAAAUUACUUAAAAUAGAUUUAUUUUAUAGUAUUCUAUAUUAGAAUCACGUUUUAUAUGUAUUCUAUAACAGAAUUUAUAAUAAAAUUGAUGAUUUAUAGUGGCGCACUAUGUAACUCCAUAUAAGGAGUCCCUCUCUGGAAUGUUGGCCUAUAUAUAUAUAUAUAUAUAUAUAUAUAUAUAAACAAAAUUUAGUAGAUUUAAAAUUGAAAAAAAAUAUAUUAGUAUACAUAUAAAUAUACAUAUACAUACACACACACACACACACACACACACACACACACACACACACACACACAUAUAUAUAUAUAGGGUCAUACUCCAGUACAAACUCCUUAUGGUACAAACAUACAAACUAGUGAUUAUGACAAUACUAUUUAGUGAUUUGCAGCUUUUAAUGUCAAUAAACUCUAACAACCCCAUCUCCACCUCCAUAACCAUCUCUAUUAUUUCUAUCACCACCAAAUCCACUCCGACCUCCAUCGUCCCCUCCAGCCUCACCACCGUCGCCUUAAACCACAGACACAUCUUAUUGUCACUGCCACAAGCAUCUAUACUCAGCUCGCUGUUUCACCAAUUUCGAAGUGAUAAUCAUUAAUUUAUAAAGAACAAAUCACUAAUUUGCAAAGUGAAAAUCACUAAAAUAUAUAGCAGUGGACUUAUGGAGACACGAUGGUAGGUGAAUACACCUCUGCCUCUGCCACUACCCAUCGCAUCACCACCAUUCACACCUCAUCACCAGCAUCACCAGCAUCACCACUACGAAAACAUAGCAUCAUCAAAUACCAAAAGCACCGAAACUCCAUCACUAAAUUAUAUCUAUAUGUGUGUAUCUAUCUCAAUGGGAACAAAAUUCAGCUGUAGCAAACUAUAUUAAUUUACAGCGCCGCGAGUUGAGAGAAAGACGGAGGUGAGAGAGAUGAGGAGAGAGAAAUCAGAUCUGAGUAGGGAAGAAUGAAUGAUCACUGUGUAUGAAUUAUGUUAUUUUUAUAUAUGGUUUGUAGUUUGUAUUUUAAUAUUGGUUUGUAUUUGAUCACUCCCCUAUAUAUAUAUUUGGAUUUUUUUUCGUGUUUCGGGUUUGGAUCAGGUUUGGAUUGGAUUCGGAUUUCGGGUCGGGUUUCGAUACGGAAUACCUAUUAUCCAAAUCCAAAUUCAAACUCGUUCGGGUCUAAAAAUCAAAUCCAAAUCCAAAUCCAAAAUAUCGGGUUCAGUAAGAUCCAUUCGGGUCGGAACGGUCGGGUAUCCAUUCGGAUCGGUUUUUUCUGCCAUCCCUAGUUAUCAACGUUAUAAUUUUACGUGAUAUUAUUAAGAUUAUAAUAAAAGUAUGUAACAGAAGCGUACAUUUUUUUAUAGCUGUAAUUAUUAUCUUGAAUUGUGGGAUUUUAUCUUUUACAGACUUGAUUCACUUAUUAUAAUAUCUCGUUCAAAUUGAUGCAAUAGAUUAUAGAGGAGUAAAGUUGGAAUAAUCUUGAAUAUCAAAAUUUUAUAUUUCUAUUUGGAUAGUAGCCAUAUCAGACUCCAUUAACCCUGAUAAGGUUAUUAUUGGAUAUUAUAUAUUACAAAACCCGGAUCAAAUUAGAUGUUUUAAGAAUUCUUUAUUUUAUACCUUAAUUAACCCAUAAACUGAAUAAACAUAAUAAAAAUAAUUGUCUUUGAUUUGUAUGUUCACAUAUUAUUAUUAUUAUUAGAUUAAUAAAUAUAAUCUAAUAGAUUGAGUAAGUUUUGGAUCUCCAUUAAUCUUUCAUUAAUUACGAGUUAAAUAUUAAUUUUUCGCAUGGAUCAUGCGGAGGGUUUUCAAUUUUAUUUUAUAUUUCAGUUAUUAUUAUAUCACUAGCAUAAAAGCCCGUGCGAGGCACGAGCCUCUAGUUUAUGUCGUGUUUAAAAUAAUAUUGACGUGUCAUCGUAUUGUUUUGAGCAACCUAAUAGUAAAUAUAAAAAUUAAAUAAUAUUGACGAAUUUUUUAUUUUUUGACAAAAUAAGUAGAUAUGAAAAUGUUAUAUUUGCAACCUAAUAGCAUUAAUAAUAAUAAUAAUAAUAAUAAUAAUAAUAAUAAUAAUAAUAAUAAUAAUAAUAAUAAUAAGUACUAUAUUUUAAAAAAAAAAUUAUGUAUCAAAAACUACUGCCGAAUUGAUUUUUCUGUAUUCAAAUUCGUCAGGAUACAGAGGUAAUCAUCAUAUUAUCUACAUGUUCAAAAUUACACUUGACAUGAAUACUGAAAUUUUUAGAUUUUAAAUAUAUUAUUCCUCAUUAAAAGUAUCUGUAAUUUAUUGUUGAAAAUUAUUAAAUUAUUUCACCUAACAUAACAUGAUUUUGAUGAAAACUCGUUCUUAAUAUGUUUAAUUACGAUAUCCUAAAUCGUCAUUAGAAGAAGAUGUGUGUCGUGCAUUGUUUUACAUUUAUUUCUUUUUUUUAGCGUAGAUUUGGCGUCAUAGUUAAGUGACACAUGAUGGGCAGAUCAUCAACACAUUCUUUUUUAACAUAUGCUGCACACAUUUUGCAUAAAUAGAGAUUGUAACAACUAAAAAGACCAAUACCUUAUUUUAUUAUAAAAGUAUAAUUUCAACUAAUAACCUUAUAACUGUGUCCAAAAAAUUCUGACACCUUUAAUGUGGUUUAACUUUUUAAUUUUCAUUUCAACGGAAAAGUACUUUAAUGUCUUAGAUUUUUAUUGUUAAUUUAAAAUAUUAGAAGAUUAUUACUUUGAUACAAUCUGUUAUAAUAUCGGCUUGUUGUUAAAUUUUACUUUUUUAUAAUUAGUUUUCUAAGUUUGAUGAUUAAGACUUUUAAUGAUUUUUCAUGUAAUUGUUAUAAACCAGAUCUCAAACAAUGAUUUCCUGAAAUCUGAAAUAGCAAAAACAGAGUAGAUAUAAGUCACACCCCAUGAAGUUCACAAAGAUAUGGAAUAUUUAGCUCAAUUAAUUGUGUAUUAAUUUUUUUUAUCUUUGUGCAAACUUAAAUUUUUAAAUAUUUUGAUACUCAUAUUUCUUAGGAGUGAGCAAUGUAGCAUAUCAUGUUCAUUUGUUAAAGAUUAAUUCAAAUAUUCGAUAUCCAAUAUUCUGGAUUAUGAAAAAUAAAUUAUUCUUGUUCUAGUUCCGUUUAAUCAGAUAUUAGUUUUCACUGUAUCGCGUCAGAUUAUCCGGUUCAAAAUUAAUUAUAUUUUUUUAGAUUAAUUUGUAAAUGAUUAAUUAAUUUAAUUGUAGUUUGAAUCAUUUUAUAUAACUUAUAUGUUAUAUAUUGAUCGAUGGCAUAUUAAAAAUUAUAGUUUUAAGACUUUAAUAUAUAUAGCUUAUUCCUCUGUGUUAUUUUAUUUUAACCAAGUAAUUUUUUUUUUGAAAAUAAAUCAAGUAAAAUUUAUAACUCAAUUUUUUUAGUAGGUCUCAUAAACGCUUUUUAUUGUUAUUUGAUUGACCUUUGAUUGACAAUAUAGAAUUUCCCUAAAAUCAACUUUAUAUCGCAAGUUAUAAUAUUUGAAAUUCAUAUAUCAUUAUAAUUACAUCAUUUACCUUGGUUCACGUGGUUUGCAGGCUAUUACGUGAGCUCUUGGGUUUACCCAGUACGCACCCGAAGGGUAGCGGCUCCGGGUUCCUACGUUAAAAAAAAAUAAAAUUACAUCAUUUAGUGACACCAAAUUUGAUGUCUUUGACAUUAUUAUUAUUAUAUCUAUAUUUGUUUUAAAACAGAUUUAGUUACACGUCCAAUUCUGAAUUCAUAAGUUUAAAAUAAAAAAUAUUCUAAAUAAGAAUAUUCUUUUAGUUACCUUAUUUAUUGUUCUCCAAAAUAUUGUAAUCUCUUUAUAAAUCACAUUUUAUAAUAAAAUUUUUUAAUAUGACAAUAUGACAUAGUCCAUGUUGAAAGCCCAUCAACUUUUUGUUCCAGAGAUGCUCGCUGAAAUCUUAGUUUUUAAAUUUUGAGCUUAUUUCUCACAUUCAUUACUUAAAAUUUCUAUAAUACUGUAUUGGUACUCGUUUAAACUAUUAAGUUAGAUUUGAAUUUGUUCAUUUUUAUUCAGAUAUGAAUUAUAUCUAUUUUUAGAAAGUGAAAUCAUGAUUCGAGCCUUAUUAUUCAGAUUCUUUAUCAAUUUUAAAUUUAUUUAUGUAUAUAAUUAGUUUAUUGAUAUUAAUCUAUCAUGUAAACGAUAUAUGACACUUAGCUAAAUUAUAACUUAUCUUAAAUAAAUAAGAUAUUGAAAAAAAUAUAAAUAUCACUGUUUUAAUGUAUGUGGUUAAAACUUUUGAAUAACAUGUUGAUUGCUUGUGUAGCUCAAGUGGUUUAAGUGGUGCACAUGAAUUAGAGAGGUCUUGGGUUUAAUACUUGUCAAUAACAUUUUAUAUAUAUAUAUAAAUGAGGUUUAGAUGCACGAAACUCUUCUGAUAUGUGAUAUCAAAUUGGUGGGUAAUGUUAUAUGAAUGAGGUUAUUUUAAUUUAUAUUUAGUUUUCAUUUAAGAGAUUUAUAUUUGAUUAUAUAUAUAAAUAAAUGGUCAAACAAAAAAAAUUGAAAUAAAACCUAAACGAAAUCUAAUAUAACCCAUUCUAUAUGACAUCAACUACCCCAAUAUGUCAUUACUUAUUUGUAAUAUGCCAUCUUUCUUCAGGGGCACACACUCGACUUCACUCAAUCUACUCUGAAUUUACAAAAAUCUUGUCAAGACUUUCAACAUGUCCAUUUAGGCUCCGAACGUCCCUAGAGAUCAAGAGUCCUUGGUAAGCCCCGUCACGGUCUCAUUGGACACAUCCCAGCUCUAAAAGCCUAUGUCCAAAUGCCCCUAAAGAUCAAGAGUGCUUAGUAAGCCCCAACUUGGUCUCAUUAGACCCAUCCCAGCUCUCAUGGCCUAUGUCCAAAUGCCCUUAAAGAGCAAGAGUCCUUGGUCAGACCCAUCCCAGCUCUCAAGGCCUAUGUCGUGAUACAUCCUCCGGCCUCAUAACCUUCCAUUCUCUUUAUUUAUAUUUUACUUGUUUCAUUGGAAUAUAUAAUCCAUACGAAAUAUUAUCCAUAUGUUUUAAAAUCAAUUUUUUAGUUUACUUUCAUAUAUGAUAUAUUAUGUGAGUGUAACAACCAAAUCCUAUAUCGAGGAGAGUGGAUACAUUUGUUCACUUUAUAAAUAUAAGUAUUGCCAUCAAUUUCACCAACAAAUCAUGAUUUUUCGGGGGUUUAUGAUGAAUUUGUGAAUUGUCCAAGUUGUUACAUUUGUGUAUAUAUAUUGCGACAUUUUUAGGAUUCAGAAUUCAGAUUUGACCUGAUUUUCAAAAAAAAAAACUCAAAAUUUGACGCAGAUUAUCACAUGUGGUAAUUAGAGUCGACUCUCGCAAUUUUAAUUAGUCAAGUUAUUGAAGGUGUGGAUACAAAGGCUGGGGGUUUAAUCCUACAAUGGAAAGAGAUCGAAAGUGGAGACACGAAACCGGUCAAUAUUACCUCAUAAUGAACAUAGAGGUACAGUCUGGGUCGAUGGGCUAUCUGUGGCGCCCUCCAAACCCGGGUCAGAAGUUUGGGGUCCACACUAUAACAUAAACCUGUAAUUAAUAAUAUAAUAGAUGCAGUGACCCUUAACUGUCCAUGGAUCGCAACAGGUUAAAGUAUAAAACAAGCCACAACAUAUCUUUAAUUAUUACAAACCCAAUCCCAAAAUAUAAACUUAAUUCUUACAAGCUUACAAGUCAUCUAUGUUUCGUUAUUCAUACUAUUACAUAUAUAAAAAGCCAAGUGCUGCUGAUAGCUCCCUCUGUCUCUCAGCCUGGAAUUCUGGCUUUACCACUAGUCUGAGGGUCAUCAUUACCAACCUUCUCUGCUUUCACUGGAAAGAACAUAGAGUAUCGCAAGAGUGAGCUAACAAGCUCAGCAAGUGUAACAAUAUCAAUUUAAACAUUUAUCAAAAGAUAAUGGAAAUCAGUAUCUAAUAGAAUCAAUCUCAAUGUCAAGGUUUCUUUUUAGAGUUUCAAUUAGAAUUGGAUAUUAAAUUUUAUUUUUAAAACCAAAGGUUAGGCUGCUGAUCAGUCAGACACUAACCCCGAGCAGGCCCCGCCAUGCUCGUUUACUGGAUCCAAGGCACACAUUGGCCUAAAGUGACCACUCAUCUGGUCUGACCAUUCAUUUGGUCCAUUUAAGAAAACUAUCCAAUUCAUUAUAAAUCAGAAUAAGUAGCAACAUGAUUCAAUAAACAGAAUUACUAAUAACAUGAUGAAUUUAGAAGCAGAAACAGAAUANNNNNNNNNNNNNNNNNNNNNNNNNNNNNNNNNNNNNNNNNNNNNNNNNNNNNNNNNNNNNNNNNNNNNNNNNNNNNNNNNNNNNNNNNNNNNNNNNNNNNNNNNNNNNNNNNNNNNNNNNNNNNNNNNNNNNNNNNNNNNNNNNNNNNNNNNNNNNNNNNNNNNNNNNNNNNNUAGUCCUAAUCUUCUACCCACCCUAACAAUCUAGGCUUGUUUCAUUGACUUAAAACCUGUCGCUCUGAUACCAACCCUGUGGCGCCCUCCAAACCCGGGUCAGAAGUUCGGGGUCCACACCAUAACAUAAGCCUGUAAUUAAUAUAAUAUAUGCAGUGACCCUUAACUGUCCAUGGAUCGCAACAGGUUAAAGUAUAAAACAAGCCACAACAUAUCUUUAAUUAUUACAAACCCAAUCCCAAAAUAUAAACUUAAUUCUUACAAGCUUACAAGUCAUCUAUGUUUCGUUAUUCAUACUAUUACAUAUAUAAAAAGCCAAGUGCUGCUGAUAGCUCCCUCUGUCUCUCAGCCUGGAAUUCUGGCUUUACCACUAGUCUGAGGGUCAUCAUUACCAACCUUCUCUGCUUUCACCGGAAAGAACAUAGAGUAUCGCAAGAGUGAGCUAACAAGCUCAGCAAGUGUAACAAUAUCAAUUUAAACAUUUAUCAAAAGAUAAUGGAAAUCAGUAUCUAAUAGAAUCAAUCUCAAUGUCAAGGUUUCUUUUUAGAGUUUCAAUUAGAAUUGGAUAUUAAAUUUUAUUUUUAAAACCAAAGGUUAGGCUGCUGAUCAGUCAGACACUAACCCCGAGCAGGCCCCGCCAUGCUCGUUUACUGGAUCCAAGGCACACAUUGGCCUAAAGUGACCACUCAUCUGGUCUGACCAUUCAUCUGGUCCAAGUUUAGAAAACUAUCCAAUUCUAUCACAAUCAAGAUGAUCAACAAUAUUAUUCAAUAAAAUAAGAACAUCAAUAUCAUAAAUAAAUUUUGAAGCAGAAGCAACUACUAUUCAAAGUGUCUCAAAUGGAUCUCAAAGGAGAAAUGAGAAUUAUCUUCAUGGUUUUAGCAAAGAAUCAGAUAUUGCCUUAUAGGAUGGCAAAGCACGUCAAAGUUUCGUGUUUACAUGAAGAAGGGUUCUAGGUUCACAAAAAGAAUCCAAGUAUAAAUGAAUGCUGUUAAGAUCAAGAAACUGGAGUUUAUGGAAAGAAUCAAUCAACUGUAAGUUAUAUGUCAUAACAGAUGUUAUUUGGGGUCGUUCAACUGGUUACGGUCUGAAAUAAAAGUGAUUGAUAACUGGUUGAGGUAUCGAGGGUAUAUUUUUGAAAUGAAAUUAGGUUGUUAUGGUAAUCAUUUAGAAGUUUUAAAGAUGGAAGGUUUACAAUUGAAAUAAGUUUCGUAGCAGGUAUCAAAGAAUCGGUCAAAGGUUCAAGAAUCAAUAAGGUAAGUAAUCCAUAAUAUAGUUCAAGAAAUCUGGUUGAAGGUUCAAGAAUCAAUAGGAUAAAUAAUCCAUAAAAUAGUUCAAGAAAUUUGGUUGAAGGUUCAAGAAUCAAUAGGAUAAAUAAUCCAUGCGAUAAUUCAAUAGGUCACAGGACUUCAUCAGAAAGUUCACUAAAUAAUCACAACAGAUACAACAUAUAAUUGAAGGAAAGUCUGAGGGAACUUGCCUUAUAUAGCUGAUCUCAAGUUUCAACUACGCUUGCUCGCUAUACUACUCUAUCACCACUUGCUUUCCCUUCCUACGUCUCGCUUCUUCUGCUAAUCACAACAAUUCUUUAUCAAUAUAUGAUCUCAUACUAUUCUUAUCAUCCUUUAUUCGAAACGAGCUUCUAUCUACCCUUCGUUUCACCCAAAUCCGAUUUACGGAUCAAAAGAUAUGUCAAAAACAAUUUUAUAUCAAUCACGUAAACACAUAACAUAUCAAUCAGAUAGCACAUAGCACAUAUCACAUAAAAUAUUUAAUAAAAUAUAUUUUUCAAAAGAGGUUUGAAGUCAAACGGACUUUUCUGGUAUUUAUUAAGAAUUUUUAAACAUUUUUCGGAAUUAAAACGGUCAAAGAAUCAUUUUAUAAAUAAAUAAUCCAUUUCUGGAUACUCGAAAUCAAGUCCGAAAUCAUUUGAAAUCAAUUAACGAGCUUCAAUCAUAUUUUAGAAUAAUAUUUUAAAGCUCGAAACUAUUUUUCGGAAUUUUAAAAUCAUUUAAAAUUAUUUAAAAUAAUUAAAUCUAAUUAAUAAAUCAAUUAAAAUUAAUUAAUAAUUAAUUAAAACAAUUAAUCAAUUAAUUAUUUAAUUAAUUGACUAAUUAUAGUAAUUAAUUACUAAUUAAAAUUAAUUAAUAAAUUAAAUCAGAUUUAUUUUUGAAUUAAUAAAUAAUUAAAAACAAUUUUUGAAAUUAAAAUAAAUGAUUUUCGAAAUUAAAUUUAAAUAAAUAAAACUUUUAAAUAAUUUUGAAAGUCCANNNNNNNNNNNNNNNNNNNNNNNNNNNNNNNNNNNNNNNNNNNNNNNNNNAAUCUGGAUUAUACUUCUUUNNNNNNNNNNNNNNNNNNNNNNNNNNNNNNNNNNNNNNNNNNNNNNNNNNNNNNNNNNNNNNNNNNNNNNNNNNNNNNNNNNNNNNNNNNNNNNNNNNNNNNNNNNNNNNNNNNNNNNNNNNNNNNNNNNNNNNNNNNNNNNNNNNNNNNNNNNNNNNNNNNNNNNNNNNNNNNNNNNNNNNNNNNNNNNNNNNNNNNNNNNNNNNNNNNNNNNNNNNNNNNNNNNNNNNNNNNNNNNNNNNNNNNNNNNNNNNNNNNNNNNNNNNNNNNNNNNNNNNNNNNNNNNNNNNNNNNNNNNNNNUUUAAUUCGAAUUUAAAUCCUCAAAUCCGAACCUACCUGAUGUUUCUGCACUAAAACUGAUGCUAGAUUUGGAUUCUACUCGUCAAAACCUUCGAUUUGAGUACUUGAACGCCAAAAUCCGAGUCCGAUAACGCUUCUAAAUCUUCGUUUGAAUCUCAAGAACACGAAGAACACUCUCGGGAAUUUCUCGGUUUUAACUGGUUUUAUGAUUUUCGUAAUGAAAUAAAAUAAUAUACCAAAAUGAUCAGGAGAACAUUAUCUACAACAUACAAUCAUCAAAACAGCUUGCCUUUCUUUCCGAAUCUAGAUAGUCCUUUCCAUGGUGACACCUUCAGUAACACUGCUUCUCCGUCUCCAAAUUCUACGUUCUUCCGGAAUUGAUCUGCAUAAUUUCGUUGACGACUUUGUGCUGCAAUUAGGCGUUUCUGAAUAAUUUCAACGACUUCCUUUGUUUGUUGUACUAAUUCCGGUCCCAAUACUUUGCGUUCUCCAACUUCAUCCCAAUAUACUGGUGAUCGACAUUUGCGUCCGUAAAGAGCUUCAUAAGGAGGCAUCCCAAUACUUGCGUGAUAACUGUUAUUGUAUGCAAAUUCCACUAAAGGUAGAUGUUCGUCCCAAUUACCUUUGAAAUCGAUUGCACAAACACGUAACAUGUCCUAGCUGACUUGGUUAAUCUGGCGUUCUCCGACUUCAUCCCAAUAUACUGGUGAUCGACAUUUGCGUCCGUAAAGAGCUUCAUAAGGAGGCAUCCCAAUACUUGCGUGAUAACUGUUAUUGUAUGCAAAUUCCACUAAAGGUAGAUGUUCGUCCCAAUUGCCUUUGAAAUCAAUUGCACAAACACGUAACAUGUCCUCGAUCGUCUGAAUAGUUCUCUCACUUUGGCCGUCUGUUUGUGGAUGAUAUGCCGUACUCAUAUUCAAUUUAGUGCCCAAACAUUCUUGAAAACUUUUCCAAAAUCUCGAAUUAAAUCGUGGGUCUCUAUCUGAUACAAUAGAUACGGUGUCCGGAAUAUUCAAAUUAGGCUAAAGGUGAAUUUUGUUGAAAUUUUCGGGAAGUAAAAUCUCGGUACCGUUACAGGUUGACGGUUUUUGUAAAAUCAAAAUAAUUAAUAAUUAAUUAUAAUAUACAUAAUUAAAUCCAUAAAUCAAAUAUAAAAUCAUACGACCAUACAUAAAUCGAUAUGAAAAUAUCUAAAUAAACUAUAUUUUGUACUGAACACAUAAAAAUUGGUAUUCCUCAAAUUUAAUCAAAAUUCAUAACUAAAUUAAUAUAACAGGAACCAAUUAAUUCACAAAAAUUCACAUAAAAUUCAUAUAAUAUUCAUUAAUCAUUCAAAUAAUUACACGGAUAAUCCCAGAUGUUACAUCCUUCCCCCCUUAAAAGGAUUCUGUCCUCAGAAUCGCUUAGGUGAACAAAUGAGGGUACUUUUCACGCAUAUCACUUUCUAAUUCCCAGGUUGACUCUUCAACCUUCGGGUUUCUCCACAGUACCCUUACUAAGUUAACNNNNNNNNNNNNNNNNNNNNNNNNNNNNNNNNNNNNNNNNNNNNNNNNNNNNNNNNNNNNNNNNNNNNNNNNNNNNNNNNNNNNNNNNNNNNNNNNNNNNNNNNNNNNNNNNNNNNNNNNNNNNNNNNNNNNNNNNNNNNNNNNNNNNNNNNNCCAACUUUUGGAACUCUUUAUACAAUUCUUCUGCACAGUCAAUACGUUUAACCUCUCCUUUCUACUUAAAGCAUCCGCUACAACGUUGGCUUUUCCUGGAUGAUACUUAAUCGUACAAUCAUAAUCCUUAAUCAACUCUAGCCAUCUCCUUUGUCUCAUGUUAAGCUCCUUCUGGGUAAAGAUGUACUUCAAACUUUUAUGAUCUGUAUAAAUCUCACAUUUUUCUCCGUACAGAUAGUGUCUCCAUAUUUUCAAUGCAAAUACAAUAGCUACUAACUCCAAGUCAUGAGUAGGGUAUUUCUGUUCAUGAGGUUUAAGUUGUCUAGACGCAUACGCAAUAACUUUAUCAUGCUGCAUCAAUACACAUCCUAAUCCUUUAUAAGAGGCAUCACUAUAUAUCACAAAAUUUCCUUGAUCAUCUGGAAGGGACAAUACUGGUGCUGACACUAACCUUUUCUUCAACUCCUGAAAACUUUCCUCACACUUCUCAUUCCAUAUGAACUUUUCAUUCUUUCUAGUUAACUUAGUCAGUGGGGUUGCAAUUCUUGAGAAAUCCUGUACAAACCUUCUAUAAUAACCUGCUAACCCCAAGAAACUCCUGAUCUCUGUGGGGGUCUUUGGUCUUUCCCAAUUCAUUAUAGCUUCAAUCUUUGCUGGAUCUACCUUGAUUCCUUCACGACUCACUAUGUGUCCUAGAAAUUGAACUUCUUGUAACCAAAAUUCACAUUUAGAAAACUUUGCAUACAACUUCUCCUUUCUUAGUAUCUCUAAGGCUGUUCUUAAAUGUUCUGCAUGCUCCUCAGCUGUCUUAGAAUAUAUCAGAAUAUCAUCUAUAAAAACAAUCACAAACUUGUCCAAAUACUUCUUAAAGACUCUAUUCAUUAAAUCCAUAAAAGCUGCUGGUGCAUUCGUUAAUCCAAAAGCCAUCACUAAAAAUUCAUAAUGACCGUACCUUGUUCUAAAAGCUGUCUUAGGUAUAUCCUCAGAUUUGAUUUUGAGCUGAUGGUAUCCUGACCUAAGGUCAAUCUUAGAAAAAUAUUCUGCUCCUUUCAACUGGUCAAACAAGUCGUCAAUACGGGGUAAAGGAUAUCUAUUCUUGAUAGUAAGCUUAUUAAGCUCUCUGUAAUCUAUGCAUAACCUCAUACUUCCAUCUUUCUUCUUUACAAACAACACUGGUGCUCCCCAUGGGGAUACACUCGGUCUGAUCACUCCUUUUUCCAAUAACUCUUGUAAUUGUUUUGCCAAUUCUUUCAUCUCUACGGGUGCCAUCCUAUACGGGGCUUUGGAUAUCGGCUCCGUUCCAGGUGCUAAGUCAAUUGCAAAUUCUAUCUCUCUAUCUGGAGGAAGUCCUGGUAACUCAUCCGGAAACACGUCUGGAAAUUCAUUCACUACAGGAAUAUUUUCAAGUUUUACUGGUUCCUGACUUUUAUCAAUUACAUAAGCAAUAUAGGCUUCGCAUCCUUGUCGUAACAUCCUCUUGGCUUGGAUCAUGGUUAAAAACUUUUUUACUUGCUUUUGUCCUCUAAACGUUAUUACCUCUUCGUCUGGUGUCAUUAAUAUUACUUUCUUAUUUUUACAAUCUAUCUGCGCACUAUGUUUAGACAACCAAUCCAUCCCUAGGAUUACAUCAAACUCCCCCAACUUGAAAGGUAUCAAGUCGGCACAAAACUUAUUUCCUAAAAUCUCAAUUUCACAAUCAGGGCAAACUCGAUUAACAGAAAUACGAUCCUGAUUAGCUAGUUCUACAUUCAUAACCUCAUUCAACAAUUCAACCGGACAAUUCAACUUAUCAACAAAAGCUUGAGAAAUAAAUGAUCUAGUGGCUCCGGAAUCAAUUAACACCUUGGCAUUUAUAGAGUUUACAUUAAGCGUACCUGUCACCACAUCGGCAUCCUGAAUAGCAUCCUUCACUGACAUAUCAAAGACUCUUGCCCUAGGAGGUUCAUUCACUUCUGGAACAGUUCCCAUGAUUCUAAGUGCAUUGCUAACAGGGGCUGGUGUCUUGCAGUCCUUAGCCAUAUGUCCUGGCUUUCCACAUUUAAAACAUGUAUAUCCUAUGGCUGGAGUCUUACUUGUUGAGCCUCUAUUGGUCUGAUCCUUUAUUGCUGGCUGGUUCUGACAUUCUCUAGAGUAGUGUCCUUUCUGGUUGCAUUUAAAACAUACCACAUUCAGUUUGUUACAUACUCCUCCAUGUCUCUUGCCACACGUUUGACAUUCUGGCAUUGAAGGCCUUUGCUGAUUGGCCUGACUUCCCGUAAGAAAACGUCCUCCUUGUCCACCACUGCCUAUUUUCUUAAAAUUAGGAUUUCCUCCUGCUUGAAACUUCCCUUUCUUCUGGAACCUCCCUUGAUAAGAGGAUCCUCCUCUAUUGUCUGGCUUUCUCUUCUUAUCCUCCUUAGACUUCUGAAACAACUCAUUCUCAGCCUCCGCAAUCAUUGCCUUCUCAACCACUGCCGCAUACGUCUCUAAUUGCAAAAUAGCUAACUUGCUUCUAAUCCAAGGCUUCAGACCUUGUUGGAAUCUUUUUGCUUUCUGCCUAUCUGUCUCUACAUAAGUUGGCACAAACCUAGCCAAUUCCGCAAACUUAUUCUCAUAUUCCACCACAGACAUAUUUCCUUGUUUCAACUCUAAAAAGUUCAACUCCAUUUGAUCUUGAAGAAACCUAGGAAAAUACUUUUCUAAAAACAAUUCCUUAAACCUCUCCCAAGUAAUCUCAACUGUACCUUCCAUAUUCUUCACAGAUUCCCACCAAUACGUUGCUUCAUUCUUUAAGUAAUGACUAGCAAACUUUGUUUUCUGAUCCUCACUUGCUGGAACUAAUUCAAAACACUUUUCCAUUUCUUUUAACCAUGUUUGGGCUGCAACAGGAUCUGCUGAGCCCUUAAACUCUGGAGGAUUAACUGCCUGAAAAGUUUUAAAAGUUACCCUAGGAUUCUCUUGAUGUUGCUGUUGUCGGGUAAGAUGAGCAGUUUGUUGUGCCAAAAUUUGAAUUAGUUGGGCCACAGCAGGAUCUACUGGGCCUAUGUUGACAUUCUGGUUAUCAUUGUUAUCAUUGAUGCUGUUGGUGCCUUCAGGAUCACUGUUGGCACGAGUAUGUCUUGUUGGAGGCAUUCUGUAAAGAAGAAACAAUUCACUUAGUCGUUUUAAAUUAAAUUCUCUUUUUAUAAAAGGGUUUUAAGAAAACAGAUUUAUACAUUUUUGAAAACAUUUUUGAGAUUAUUUAACUAAAUAAAUUGCAUACUUCUUUACAGAAUGUAAAGCAAUAAAAGAAAGGUUGCAAUAUUAUUACAAGAGUUUAUGAUCGGUACUGAAAGUAAAGUAAAGUAAGACAAGUGCGAUAAAGUAAAGGACAAGACUGUAAAGUAAAAGAUGCUGAUAUAUAUAAGUCAGUGCUGGAGAUACAAGCGUUAAGCGCUUCAUCAAAAGUAAGGUACAACAACAGCAACAACAAGGCUAUCUAGUCAGCUCAGCUAAUCUAUAUAUACAUGUCAAAAUCUGCUGACGACUACAACAACAUACACAUCAUCUGGCCAGCUCCGCUAGUCUAUAUAUACAUGUCAAAAUCUGCUGACCUGAUAUAAACUACUCACUACACACUGCAUCAUACACACUACUCACUACAAUACUGACCAUCUCCAACACAUGAUAUACUCCAGACCUAUAGAAAGUCUGGGCCUCCGAUAACCUCCAGCUGCUCCAAGACCCACCGAGCCCAGUCUAUAAUAUCUCCAGGGGUACCAAGGGGUGCGGUGAUCCCACAUAACCUCUCUACUGCCUCUGUCCUAAAAGCACGUAUCUCCUCUCUCAGCUGUCGCUCUCCCCUGUUAGGAUCUAAAUCCCUCAUUGCCUGUGUCAGCUCUCCAAUCUGGCCCAACAGCUCCUCUCUCUCCAUCAAGAGUGCCUGAUAGUAGUGGUAGGGUACCGAAAGAGGGGAACACGGAUAAGAGGGUCCGACACCUGAAAAUCCAGAAGACUCAUGCUCUGGUGGAGGUCCACGGAUAGGAGGUCGUAUAAGGGGAGCAGGUGGGGGCAUCUCAGGUGCAGGCGGAGGUAUAGCCCUAAGUGGUAUAGCUGCAAUAGGGGUCUGUCCACUACGAGGGUAUCCAGGUGGACGUGAAGGUCCAGCUACAGGUGGGGGUGUAAGUGCCCUGGGUGAAGAUACCGGUACAACUCCAGGACGGAGUGGAAGUCCCUCAACCGUCGACUCUGAAUGAUCCGAAUGAACCGGGGUACUGGGGCCUGACAUGUCUGAUAGUCUGAGAACCAACAUAAACAAACACGUAUCAAAAUCUGUAUCCACUACCAAAAUCAACCCUAAAUCUUUUACGAGUUCCUCAACCUCUCAACGUUCUAUCUACCUAUCACUCAUUUCUAGUCCUAAUCUUCUACCCAACCUAACAAUCUAGGCUUGUUUCAUUGACUUAAAACCUGUCGCUCUGAUACCAACCUGUGGCGCCCUCCAAACCCGGGUCAGAAGUUUGGGGUCCACAUCUCAACAUAAACCUGUAAUUAAUGAUAUAAUAUAUAUAGUGACCCUUCACUGUCCUUGGAUCGCAACAGGUUAAAGUAUAAAACAAGCCACAACACAACUUUAAUUAUUACAAACCCAAAUCCCAAAAUAAAAACUUAAAUCUUACAAGCUUACACGUCAUUUGUGUCUCAUUAUUCAAACUAAUACAUAUAUCAAAAGUCAAGCGCUGCCGAUAGCUCUCUCCAUCUCUCAGCCUGGAAUCCUGGCCUUACCACUAGCCUGAGUAUCAUCGUUACCAACCUUCUCUGCUUUCACUGGAAAGAACAUAGAGUAUCGCAAGAGUGAGCUGACAAGCUCAGCAAGUAUAACAAUAUCCAUUUAAACAUUUAUCAAAAGAUGAUGGAAAUCAAUAUUUAAUAGAAUCAAUCUCAAUGUCAAAGUUUCUUUUUAGAGUUUCAAUUAGAAUUGGAUAUUAAAUUUUAUUUUUAAAAACCAAAGGUUAGGCUGCUGAUCAGUCAGACACUAACCCCGAGCAGGCCCCGCCAUGCUCGUUUACUGGAUCCAAGGCACACAUUGGCCUAAAGUGACCACUCAUCUGGUCUGACCAUUCAUUUGGUCCAUUUAAGAAAAACUAUCCAAUUCUAUUAUAAAUCAGGAUGAAUAACAAUAUAAUGCAAUAAACAGAAUCAUUAAGAACAUGAUUAAAUUUUGGAGCAGAAACAGAAUUCAUUUCAGCAAUAUCUUUAAGAUAUUCUACAAUAAGAAUCAGGAAUAAUUCCACGAGUCAAAGGAUCAAAUAUAGCAUAUCUGGAUUUCAAGUGAAACAAUAGUCAUGGUCUGUAUGAAAGAAGGUUUCUGGUUUUAUUAAAGAAUUCACAUGUCAAAAGGGUGUUUUCAAGUCCAAAGAAAUUAGGUUAUUGAAAAGGAAUCACAAUUGUGGGGUGUAUGGUAUUCCAGGUAUGAUUGACUUCCAGUCAAUUGGUUUGGAUAUCAAAGGUGUGUCAGAACAUUGAAAUAAGGUUUAUAUGGUAGUUAUCCAAAAAUCUCAAGGUUUGAAGGUUUACAAUUGAAUAAGGUUUCCAAAAUAGAUAUCAAAGAAUCAAGUUAAUGGCUCAAGAAUCAAUGAAUGAAUAGUUCAAGUGAUAGUCAAAGAAUCUGGUUGAUGGUUUAAGAAUCGAUGAAUUAAACAAUUCAUGAUAUGGCUCAUUAAGUGUCAUGAGUGAAUUAGAUAGCUCGCAAAGCAAUCACAUCAAGGAUCAUAUAUAUAUAAUUGAAGGAAAGUAUCAAGGAAACUUGCCUUAUACUGACGAUUUUAAAUUUCAAUUGCUUCUGCUCGAUAUACUAUUCUAUAUCCACUUGCUUUCCCCUUUAUUACGCCUGGCUUCUCUGCUAAUCAUCACAACUAAUUAUCAAUAGGUGAUCUCAUACUAUUCUCAUCAUCUUACAUUCGAAACGAGCUUCUAUCUACCCUUCGUUUCACCCAAAUCCGAUUUACGGAUCAAAAGAUAUGUCAAAAACAAUUUUAUAUCAAUCACGUAAACACAUAACAUAUCAAUCAGAUAGCACAUAGCACAUAUCACAUAAAAUAUUUAAUAAAAUAUAUUUUUCAAAAGAAGUUUGAAGUCAAACGGACUUUUCUGGUAUUUAUUAAGAAUUUUUAAACAUUUUUCAGAAUUAAAACGGGUCAAAGAAUCAUUUUAUAACUAAAUAAUCCAUUUUUGGAUACUCGAAAUCAAGUCCGAAAUCAUUUGAAAUCAAUUAACGAGCUUCAAACAUAUUUUAGAAUAAUAUUUCAAAGCUCAAAAUUAUUUUUCGGAAUUUUAAAAUCAUUUAAAAUUAUUUAAAAUAAUUAAAUCUAAUUAAUAAAUCAAUUAAAAUUAAUUAAUAAUUAAUUAAAACAAUUAAUCAAUUAAUUAUUUAAUUAAUUGACUAAUUAUAGUAAUUAAUUACUAAUUAAAAUUAAUUAAUAAAUUAAAUCAGAUUUAUUUUUGAAUUAAUAAAUAAUUAAAAACAAUUUUUGAAAUUAAAAUAAAUGAUUUUCGAAAUUAAAUUUAAAUAAAUAAAACUUUUAAAUAAUUUUGAAAGUCCAAGGUUUAAAAUAUAAACUUUGGAAACUUAAACAGGGGCUGAUUUGAAAGUUUAGAAAACUGGGGGUUAGUUUUGUAAAACUCGAAACCCGGAGGUUUGAUUUACAAAAACAAAAAGUCCAAGGACUGAACUUCAUCAUUUCCAAAACAUGGGGGGCUAAACUGUAAUUUGGCCAAGCCGCCGCCCCCCGACGUCGACCUCACCGGAGAUGGCCGCACAGGCCACCGUUCUUUACCAAACGCUCCAGAUACCUUAAACACACUGCAACAAAUCCAUUCAUGAUCUCAGAAUCAAUAAAAAGCUUGCCAAUCAGCCGGAAAAGCCGAUCGAAGUAGCCGCCGCCGAAUUUCUUGGAAACUCCGGCGAGGCUUAACCACAACUCCUCCAUUCAAUCUAAAUACACAAACUUAUUCCGCUCUACCUGAUGGUGCUAUCAACAUACGCCCAGAAUCAACAGAUAAGAAAUCCCCAAAGUUCAAUUAAGAACAUUCAAACAUUCAUAUAAACCCUAAUUUCAACCCUCGAUAAUUAAACUUAAAAUUAACUAUGUUAUUGAACUCCAAAUCAAGCAUAUGAUAUACCAAAAUGAUCAGGAGAACAUUAUCUACAACAUACAAGCAAGAAAUCACAUGAACAACUUCAAAAUCAAAAAGCCCUAAUUUGAGCUUGUUUAAUUCGAAUUUAAAUCCUCAAAUCCGAACCUACCUGAUGUUUCUGCACUAAAACUGAUGCUAGAUUUGGAUUCUACUCGUCAAAACCUUCGAUUUGAGUAUUUGAACGCCAAAAUCCGAGUCCGAUAACGCUUCCAAAUCUUCGUUUGAAUCUCAAGAACACGAAGAACACUCUCUCGAUAAACCCGUGUUUAACUGAGAUUAUGAUUUCCCCAAUGAAAUAAAGUACGGUUAAGGCUAUUUAUAUUUACGAAUAAUUAAUACCCCUCUGGAUCAUAUAUGACACGAAAAUACCAUGUUUAAUAGCUUUAUAUUAAUAAAACGGGUCCAAUCGGUACCGGUUUUCGAGAUAAUUAUCAAAACGAGAAGGUUUAAAAUAUAAACUUUGGAAACUUAAACAGGGGCUGAUUUGAAAGUUUAGAAAACUGGGGGUUAGUUUUGUAAAACUCGAAACCCGGAGGUUUGAUUUACAAAAACAAAAAGUCCAAGGACUGAACUUCAUCAUUUCCAAAACAUGGGGGGCUAAACUGUAAUUUGGCCAAGCCGCCGCCCCCCGACGUCGACCUCACCGGAGAUGGCCGCACAGGCCACCGUUCUUUACCAAACGCUCCAGAUACCUUAAACACACUGCAACAAAUCCAUUCAUGAUCUCAGAAUCAAUAAAAAGCUUGCCAAUCAGCCGGAAAAGCCGAUCGAAGUAGCCGCCGCCGAAUUUCUUGGAAACUCCGGCGAGGCUUAACCACAACUCCUCCAUUCAAUCUAAAUACACAAACUUAUUCCGCUCAACNUUAAUCAAAAUUCAUAACUAAAUUAAUAUAACAGGAACCAAUUAAUUCACAAAAAUUCACAUAAAAUUCAUAUAAUAUUCAUUAAUCAUUCAAAUAAUUACACGGAUAAUCCCAGAUGUUACAUCCUUCCCCCCUUAAAAGGAUUCUGUCCUCAGAAUCGCUUAGGUGAACAAAUGAGGGUACUUUUCACGCAUAUCACUUUCUAAUUCCCAGGUUGACUCUUCAACUUUUGGGUUUCUCCAUAGUACUCUUACUAAUUUCACUACCUUGUUUCUUAACACUUUCUCUUUUCUAUCUAGGAUUUCCACUGGCAUUUCUACAUACGAUAAAUCUGCCUCGAGUUCUACCGGCUCAUAUUCUAUCACAUGUUUUGAAUCUGGAUUAUACUUCUUUAGCAUCGAUACAUGAAAGACGUUAUUUUAAAAAACUGAAAAUCACAUCUUAAAGUAGAUUAAAAGUUAUUUUCGGUGACAUAUUUUUUUUAUUUUUUUAAUCAAUAAAAUAUUAAUAAAUUUCAGUCAAAAUUUGGUCAAUUUGACCGGCACAAAAGCAAAUAUGACAACUAAAAAGGGACGGAGAGAGUAUAAAUUAAUGUCAUCGAACCAUCUAUCUAUCUAUUCUAUUAAUAAUAGCCCAACAUGGAUCAUGUUGAGCAAAUAAAAUCAUUAGACAUUUUAAUCUCAUAAAAAGACUUAUUUACCUUUAUAUUUAAAACUCAUUAACUCUCACAUUAACUUGUCAUUUAUGUCUUAAUAACAUUCAUUCAUAUAAUAAUAACGCAUGGGACCAAUUUAGCAAAUGAAAUUAUGACACUUUUUAUUCAAUUGAUUGAGAAACUUAUCCUCACUUUUAAUAUUUGUGAAAAAAUUGUCCUUUAAUAGAAUCGAACAGUGAGUGCACUGCUAGCUUUCAUUUUUCUGUAGCAUUAUAUCAACUUGUCAUUAAUGUUUUAAUAUCGUUUAUAUAAUAUGUAUGUAUCGUGUAAAUAACAGAUUUUUUGAUGUUUUAUUAUAGAGACUUAAUUCUUGUCAAUUUUUAAUAAUGACUUUAUGUUUGUAUUUGUUAAUAUAAAAUAUAUUGUCCAAUAAUAUAUAUAUUUAUAUAUGAUAUGCAUACUAUUUUUUCUGUUUAGAAACAAUAUCGGUACCAUAAAAGUGACUAGAUUAAGAAUCAAAGACAAUUCUAAAAAUAUAUGAUUUAGGUUUUAUAAAAAUAUCUCUAAAAUAUGAAUUUUAAUCAGACUAUAAUAUAUUUAUAUAGUUGUUAGAUUGUUUAUUAAUUUAUUGCUAAAAUUGAAUUAAAAAAGGUUAUUACAUAUCAGUGCUAGAAUAAUAAUAUAAUAAAAGUAUUUGUAGACAGAUCUGAUGCCUCUAAUGUGCUACUCUUAUGUGUGCAUGUAUCGGAAAGUAAAGAUUAUAAGAUCAUUAUUGUAUUAGUAAUUCUUUAUUAAUCCAUUAUUAAAAUAUAUCAAUAAUAUACUUAUUUAUCAUACUUUUCAUAAUUCAAUCUUUAAUAGAAUCAUGAUUAUCUUGUACGAAGUAUCUGAUAUGUCGAAGGUAAUUCGAAUAUAACUUCUCAUCGCAAUAGAGGUUAAAUUGUAUAUAAAAACAAUUCACACUUUACUUUCAAUCGAAAUAUAAGUAUUAUACCGUCAAUUACGAGCUGCACAAAAUUAUUAUGGAUGUUUAAAUAAUUUUGUAAUACUUUAAUCUCCACGAUAUAUCAUUAUUUUCGCUUAACUAAUGAAAGUGUGUUUUCAAACGCAUUAAGUUUUGUCAUUUUUUGGAUUUCAAAAUAGGAAAUCAUACAAUAUAUAUGUAAAUAAGCCGUUCGACCCAACAUCUAAAAUUCAUAAAUUUGAUGUAUUUUUUUUAUAUAUCUAGAAACUAGCACACAAAUUAUAGGUUAACUAUUUAGAAAAUAUUCGUGAAUGAUCAAUUUUCAUAUAAUUAUAUUGAUCACGUUAAAUUUCAUAAAAAUUUUAAAAAAUAAUUUACAUAUUUAAAUCGAGUUACUAGAUACAAUACUCGUGCCUUGCACGGGUUUUAGGGCUAGUUAUGUUUUAAAAGUUCAACGAAUUUUGUACAAUGAUUAUUCAAAUCUAGUUUUGCCAACAAAUUUUAACCAACUCGGAUGAAGAAGUUCUCGGGAUCAUUGAAAUAAAAACAACAACGGUCUUUCUAAUGUGUGCCCAAGGGCACACAAUAAACACUAAAUUCUAUAAAAAUGAGCUAUUUUGAUUGGUGGAGUUGAAGUGAAUACAGGGGGGCCAUUCACAUUUAUUGUUAACCCACCAAUCAAAUAGAACUAUUUUUAUUGGAGUUAGAGACUAUUGUGUACCCUUGGACACACCAUAGAUACUCCCAAACAACAAUACACUUUCAUGUAAAGUUUGUGAAAGAAGUUUCCAAGUUUCCAAUCGCACAAGAGCAGAAGUGCUUAUAGCUAUUAUACUCCUCGUCAAUGCAAAUUAUAAGACAAUUUUACAUGCCAUGUUAUAGCCCAAAAGUGCAAGACAAGUUUUGAAAGACAUGCUAUAACACAAAAAUUUUAAUAUCUUUAUCAUCUAUUCUUAUAUCUUGUCAAGAGUCUUAAAAUAUCAUUUCAAAUAAUAUAAUAUGACAGGGUUGAUUUUGAUUUUAAUUUAUGAACACAUAUAUAUAGAGAUCGAAUUUCAUGUAUUAUUUAAAAAUAUAUUGGUCAUACACAAAUAACAUGUCAGCAUCUAAAAAUAUAAAUUUAAAUAUUCAUAACAUUAUUCUUAUUUAAGAAAUAUUUUACUAUUGACUAAUUAUGUUUUUCAACUAUCUUUAAAAAAAAUAGUAUUUUUACAUAAUUUUUUUGUGAUUAUAAAUUUUUGAGCAGGGAAAAGUCUUUAUCAAUGCAAAUGUUAUUAAAUUCAUAAUUAGUAUAAUUAUUUUGAUAAUAAAUUUUGAGUUGGCGCGGAUGUUUGUAAACUUUUAAUUCAGUAAUAGUUUUUCAGAAUUCGAUGACGUGAUACUCUACAGAAAAUAAAUUAGUGAUAAACAUUUUCUCGCUGUCCUAACAAAUUGCGCUCGUCGGCUUGAAUAAAUUAAAAAUCCAAUCGAAAUAUCGAAUCGAAUACAUAAUAAAUAGAGCCUAAUAAAUAAUACGACAAUGAGUCCGAAAAAUUAAUGUGAAAUUGUUACACGACGCCGUUUAAAGAGGCAGAUUAUAAAGUCCAUCCACAUAAGCUCUUGUUUUAGCACCUCAGAAAGCAAAGAAAAAAACCCCUCUUUACUCUCUCUCUACAAAUCAUACUCUCUGCGCUUGCCGGAGUUGUUUUCCGAUCGCCUGAAACUCACCGUCGUUUAACAAUCGAUCGAUUAAAUUCAGCAUAUACAUACACCUAUCGACACAGAUAAUGGAUGGUUAUACGAGUAGCGAAGAAGAGAACUGUUAUUCUGAUCGAGACUCUUUCGAUGGUCUCGAUAACGAAGAGUCUGAUUCUCAGUGGGUCCCACCUAAACCUUCAUCUAUCAAGGUAUCAUCAUGCCCCUUUCUUUGUGAUUAUAUAUUGAUGUUGAUUAGCCUCUGUAUGUAUGUAAUGCUACAUUCUCGUUUUUAUUCAUCACUUUUGAUUAAAGAUUGCAACUUUAUGUGUUUUUAUGUAUCUACGUGGUGAAUUGGUGUUUCAAUUUGUGAUGUUGAUGCUGUGGUUUUUAUUCCUUGAUUCUUUCAAUUGGCUGAUUAGGUGAAAAUUAGGUUUUCUUUUAGCUGUUGUCUUUUUGUAUAUGAUUCGUAUUUGAAAGAUUGAUUUGAUUGUCUGUGUCAGUGUUAUUAAACCCUGCUUGUCUUGUUGAUUAAUGUGGAAUGUGGAAAAUUAUCUUAAUUCUCGUUUAUAUGUCGGUAUUUGUGUAUGGACCAUGCAGUUUCCUUUAAUUCUUAGACUUUGUUCACUUAGAUGGAAUGAAACGAGGGAAAAUCGAAUGAAAUUUGUACUCGAAAUGGAGGGUAAUUAGAGAAAAGGUGUAUAAUUUUCAUUCCUUUAAUCAUUCAAUUACCAAAUAUUUGAACUGGAAAUCUAACCCACGUGUUUUGGAAGGAUACUCAUUCCACUUCAACAUCAUGUUUUCCUAAAAUUUUCAUCAUAGAAAAUUUAGACUAACUCAUUUAUAGUCGUUAUUUUCUCACACUCUCUUCUUUCUCCAUAGAACUUCUUUAUAAUUUUUUAUUCCAUUCUCCCCUCAUUCAGUUUCAUCCAAGUGAACACAACCUUGGUGUUAUAUGUUUUUGGUGAUUUUAGAUUUUUUGUUGUGAUCUGAUGGUAAAAGAUGAGGAUUUUGGCUAUAUUUGUCAUUUUAAUUGUUUCCUCUUGUGAAAGAUUGAUUCGUUAGAUUUGUGUCAGUUUCUGCUCUUUUACUGUGGAAUGUAAAAGAUUAUAUGAAAAUGCCUUUUACGUGCCUAUAUAUAAUAUAUAUACAUGUGUAUACACUCGGGUACCAAGUGUUCACAUAGGCACAUAUCUGAGUGUUGGCCUCGAAAAUUUUGAAAAUUGGGACAUAUGGACAUUGUCUUUUGGACACCGGUACAGGGACACAACAUAUAAUACAUUAAUAAACAAGCAUGGUAUGUAGACACUCUAACACAAUGUAACAAUCAAAUUCAGAUUGAACACGAUUUAGUAAAGAAUUUUGCUAAUUAGUUAUCUUCUCUACUUGUUUUUUUUAUACUUCCUUCUUUCUUUCUGCUCAUUUGUGUUGGUUUGCAUUGUAUAUUGCACUUGGUCUUUAAGUUGGUCAGAGUGUACACAUUUCAGUCAAAGGAUCUAACACAAUAAGUAUCAUGUCCGUGUGUCAAGUGUCUGACACGGGCAUGUGUACGGAUACGGCUCCCUAAACAAAAGAGUCGGAGUAACAUAAUGCGUUCUUUGCUUUAAGGUUUUUGUAUGGUUCAUGCAUUAUUUGUGUAAUUGCUUGAUUUCGACUUGUCAUGAUUCAAUAGUAAUAUGACUUUUCAAUUUGAUGGUUUGUUUUAGUUUUGUUAGCUCAUGGAAAUGAUAUAAAUUGAUGGUUUCUCGCAGGUGAUUACUAAAGAGUCUCUCUUGGCAGCACAGGUAGGAAUAAGAACUUUGAAUGUCUGAUUUAUUUACUCGAUUUUUGUUGUUUUCGGAUAUGUUUUGUUGAUUUUUUUGAUGAUUUUUAAUGUAGAAAGAAGAUUUGCGCCAGGUUAUGGAACUGUUAUCUUUGAGGGAGCAUCAUGCACGGACUUUGCUGAUUUAUUAUCGAUGGGAUGCUGAGAAGUUAUUCGCGGUACUUGUUGAAAAGGGAAAAUCUGCUUUGUUUGCUCAGGCAGGUGUACCCUUGGUUGAAAAUCAUGAACUUGAUACGUCUAUGAAUUCCUCUACGGUCAUGUGCAUUAUUUGUAUUGAGGAUGUAUCUGGUCGGGAGGUUACUAAAAUGGACUGUGGCCAUUGCUUUUGCAACAAUUGUAAGUUUAUCUCCUUGAUUGUGUAUGUUUUUUGAUUUUUUCAGUUUUCGUAGCAGUUUGUUAUGGCUUUGACAGAACAAAUAAUCUUCUGCGGGUUUGGAAUUGAAUGUCAGCAGAAAAUGAGUGACCUUGUUAUAGAUUCAAUAAUUUGUAAAUAAUAUUUGUCACAUUUAUAGUGUUAUCAUCAUUCAUUUCACUGUGAGCUAUUGAAUAAGAAAAUCUUGAUUAUAUUUUUUUUUGCUAUUGUCCAGUUUCUUAUGUUAUUCAUAUGUAUUUUAGGUUGGACAGAGCAUUUCAUUGUGAAGAUAAAUGAGGGACAAAGUAAGCGUAUUAGGUGCAUGGCUCAUAAAUGUUCCGCCAUUUGUGACGAAGCAGUAAUUAGAAACUUAGUUAGUAAAAGGCACCCUGAUUUAGCAGAGAAGUUUGAGCGUUUUUUACUGGAAUCCUAUAUAGAGGAUAAUAAGAUGGUAAAAUGGUGCCCAAGUAUCCCACAUUGUGGGAAUGCUAUACGUGUCGAGGAUGAUGAAUUCUGUGAGGUAGAAUGUAAAUGUGGCCUACAAUUUUGCUUUAGUUGUCUAUCUGAAGCACACUCACCUUGCUCAUGCCGUAUGUGGGAGCUCUGGUUAAAAAAAUGCAGAGAUGAAUCUGAAACAGUGAAUUGGAUUACAGUUCAUACAAAGCCUUGUCCAAAGUGUCACAAACCUGUGGAGAAGAACGGUGGGUGUAAUCUUGUCAGCUGCAUCUGUGGGCAAUCUUUUUGGUGUGAGCUCUUUCCCCCACCNNNNNNNNNNNNNNNNNNNNNNNNNNNNNNNNNNNCCUCAUCCUUGUAAUUGUAUUGCUUGCUUAUUUGUUCUGAUAUGUUUUUGUCUUCGUAUUUCUCUGUAGAAUGUGUUUUUGGUGUGAGCUCUUUCCCUCAUCCUUGUAAUUGUAUUGCUUGCUUAUUUGUUCUGAUAUGUUUUUGUCUUCGUAUUUCUCUGUAGAAUGUAUUUUGAUGAUUUCACAAUACAAUAGAAUGCAUAACCAUUUGCUAUUGGUAGGUAUGUAUAAAAAGGAAUUUAUGUAUUGAAUCUCUUCUGUGUUCAUCAUCUUCUGCAUAUUCAUGUUAUAUACGCUGGUCCGUAAUGUGGCUGUCAUUCUACUUGGCCCAAAGAUUCCACAAGAACUGAUUCAUUGUUCAAGUUGAAGGAGUAAUUUGAGUCCAUACAGUAGGAUCAUUUGAUGCUCUCUGCAGCUUAUCCUUGGUCGGAGAGUAAUUAAAAUAUUAGAUUAUCUAGUACGAUUAUUAUUUAUAAUAGUACUUCUUGAGCUCUGGUUCUAUACAAGUAUGGGAAGCUACUUGCGAGUUGUGUCAUGAUUCAUUACCUUUGUGCUCUGUUUCUUGCUGCUAUAGUUUACUUGACUGCUUUGUUACCCUUUUUCUUCUCAAUAACUCGUGUCUUUUCAUAUCAUAAAUUUGCUUACUGUGAUUUUUUCUUGAUUCUUGAUUAGUUGGCUAUGUGGUGCUGCAACUGGUCGUGACCAUACAUGGUCAAAUAUUAGCGGCCACAGUUGCGGACGAUUUAAAGAGGACAUGGAGAAAAACUCUGAACGAGCAAAGCGGGAGCUCUAUAGGUAUAUGCACUAUCAUAAUAUGUACAAGGCCCAUACAGAUUCUUUUAAGCAGGAAUCUACACUAAGGGAGACCAUCAGGGAGAAGGUUGAGAAUUUGGAAAAGAGAGAUCCGAGUGCAAGAGAUUUUACUUGGGUUACAAAUGGGCUAUACAGACUUUUCAGAUCCAGGCGUUCUCUCUCUUAUUCUUACCCAUUUGCGUAUUAUAUGUUUGGAGAAGAGCUGUUCAAGGGUGAGAUGACGGAAAAGGAACGGGAGAUAAAACAGAAUUUAUUUGAGGACCAGCAGCAGCAGCUUGAAGCAAAUGUGGAGAAGCUAUCAAAGUGUAUUGAGGAGCCACUUGAUCAGUUACCUGAUGACCGGGUCAUGAAUAUAAGGAUGCAAGUAAUUAAUCUCUGUGUGAUUACUGAUAAUCUGUGCCAGAAAAUGUGAGUAUGGCUGUCACAUAACUUUAAAUGAAUCAAUAUCUCAUUAGUCAGAACUCAUGUAUUUGCUAACAUUUUGCAGGUAUGAAUGUAUUGAGAAUGAUCUAUUGGGUUCUCUCCUAUUUGGUAUUCACAAUAUAGCUCCAUACCAUUCGAAAGGCAUUGAGAAGGCAACUGAGCUUACCAUCUGUCAUAAUUCUAAAGCCUGUAAUGCUAAAAAAGCUGACGACAACGGUAAACUGGUUUCAACUUCUUUCUUUGUCAUUAUGUACUUGGUGUUCUAAAAUAUUUGAUCGUGUCAGUUGACCUAUCUAAUAUCUAUACAAAGAUGGGCUUCAUCAGGAUAAUUUAGUCUACAGUGUAAAUUCUUAUGCACGGUAAACCUUUUAAAGUUUAAAAUGAUGGGGAGGUCCACAGUUGAUAUGGACAUGAAGGGAUGCUAAAUUUUCAAACAUACCAUUCCCUCUAAGUAUUCAUUUUCUAUCAUUGGGAUAACAUUGAAAUGUUGAAUCACCCUCUCAAGAAGAUAUUUGAGGUUACUCAACAAACCUAAAACCUGUGCAGGAUUAUAUCCUUCAGAAUUGAUAAAAAUGUUAAACCCUGAAAAUGACCUCCACAAUCAUAAAUACAAUAAAUAACAAAAUCAUAUGAUAGAAGUAUAGAUAUAAUCAAAAUAGUGUAUCAAAAUUGAUUUGGUACAAGGGGCAGCUCUCCCCAGUCACCAAUGAUUCUCCUGAUCCUCCUGAUCCUCCUGAUUCUCCUGAGUAUGUUCAUACCUACCAAACAUAUCAUAUUGACUAUGGCCCAUGGUUGUCAAGGCGCUAGACUAAAACCUCUCGGGCGACCAGUUGGGUCGCCUAGUCGUUGAAGUCAAUCGACUGCUUGCUUACCGACCAUAACCCGUUCAGAAACCUUAUAUUUGAGUGUAUGACUUUACUAGUCAGACAAUCCGUUGAGAGGAGACGGUAUCUGUUGUGAUUUGUUAAUCCCUAUCUGAAUUCCAACCCAGUCAUCUAUACCUUUAACUCAACCUUUUUUCUAAAUUUUUAUUCAGAAAAAGAAAAUUUUAAAAAUAAGUUUUAGAACUAUACUUUACAGUAGCAUUAAAGUGCGUGUCACAUCUUCAUUAAGUAUGAUUAACUACUGUUGACCUUUUCUCAAAAUAAAACUACUGUUGACCAUUUUUCAUACUAGGGUGCAAGUUUUUAAAUAUUUCUUCAUUUUUUAACAGAACAUAAAUUAUUGCAGGAUGCACAUUGGAAUCACAGGGACCAUCAGGUUCUGGGAGUUCAGAUCAGAGUGGUUAUUCUUCGCGGAAGAGACCAAGAAAGGAAAAUUUUGGUGCAGCAUUUUUUGAUCUCAACUUGCCUGCAGAAGUCUUGGAAGGAAAUUAAAUUGAACUUAGAGCAGUUGCUUCUUUGAACAGUAAGAGCAAUUCUUUUGUUGUUACCCUAGCAUAAAUUGGAUGAAACAAGAAAUGUUUCCCCUUCUGAGAUAAAAUGAAAAAAAGAAGGCUAGAAUCUUGUGUUUUUGAAAUUUGUUCUUUCGUUGCAAGAUUAUAUAUAGGCAUAUUUAACUUUAUGGGUGCUAAAUCUGUGCAUUCUAUUGGCAGAGACAAGACUUGCUACACAUCUCUAAUAUAAGGGUUCUAGUCUCUUGCUACACAUCUCUGAUAUAAGGGUUCUAGUCUCUUGCUACACAUCUCUGAUAUAAGGGUUCUAGUCUCUUGCUACACAUCUCUAAUAUAAGGGUUAAGGGUUGAAGACUGUUUAGUAGGGGUGAGCAAAAUCGGAUAUCUAGUCCGGUUAUUGUUAAAUCAUUGAAUUGGAUAUCCUGUUUUUCGGAUUAUCAAAUUCCUUUCGAUUCUGGUUUCCGUUUAAUCAGAUAUCUGGAAUUCGGGUAUCCGUUUUAACCGGAUUGGAAAAAAAGGAUUAUUUUGAUCCGAAUUAGUUCAAUGUAGUUAAGUUUAGUUUAUAAUUCUUAUUCAAUUUAAAUAUAUUUUAGCCCAUUAUAACUGACAUUAUGAAUAAUAAAUUGACUAGUACUUUAAAAUCAGAUAGCAUCUAGAUAUCCGAUUUUGUAAAAAAUUAUGAUCCGGAUUCAGACCCAGAUCUGAUUUAUAAAAAAACCCGGAUCAAAUAUCCGGUCUGGGUUUUCGGAUAAAGUAUCUGAAUUUUUGAUUUUUUUUAAACCAGACCGAAAAUUCGGAUUGAUCCGUUUUUUGGAUUUUUAUACUCACCCUACUGUUUAGGAACCAUCGGAUGACCUCCCAAUUUUUUUUUUCUGCGCAUUUAUUCUUGUAUGCCAAUAACUAGUAUGAAGGGGAUUAUUAUUUGUCCACGGGACUAGCUUUGCUCUGCAGCCACGGUUGCAAAGCUGAAACUUCCCUUCAUGAGUUAGACAAUUUUAUUCUGGAUUCUGAAACUACCCUGGACUCUCAUCUUUCCAUAAGUUCAAGAUUGUUAAGUUUAGGAGAAAUUAAAGCAGACAAAGAUAUGAGAAGAAGAGAUGUCCUUUUUGUUCUUAUCAUUACCAUUGACCAACUCAACAACACCACCCCCUUUGGAAACUUCGCUCUCCUGUUUUUUCUGGGUUUCCUUGAGCUCCUCAAGAUUCACACAAUUCAUUAUUAUAUCUGCAGCCUGGGGGGUAUUCUUAAAACAAGGUCAUAAGAUUCCAGCUUCGAUUUUAGUAUUUAAAAAGCUCAUAAUAUAAUAACAAUAAUGUCUUCUGAAGCUUCCCAACUCAAAAUCACAGAAACAAAGGUUUCAGCAUAGUUAAACAACAUAUUUUUAACAUGAAUCAGAACCCCAGAGUCAAAUAACUCUGAUCAAUUCAUGUAAUUUACUAUUCAUGGCACUUGAACCAAAAUUAUUGUUUAAAAACUUGGAUAUUAAUUUUUCAAACAUGUUUCUGUUUGACCUUCCGAUGCAUUGUUUUUAGAGAUGCAAGCAUCUUUCGAAAUCAAAGGGAUAUAAUAUUGGGACUGCAUGAUCCUGAUGGCUUCGAAGUUUGGAAAAUUUUGUUUAGUUUGGGUUUAAACAAGGUGAUGAAGAAACUACGAGCUUUAAAUUGGUCUGCAAGCAUGUCUGUCAGUUUCUCUAAUGAAGCUAAAUUUGACUAAUCGAUACUAGAUGAUUGUUUUAUCUAGAUAUUGGUAGAUGCAAACGAGAUACUUGCGAUCUUCGAUUAUUUGGACGAGACUGUGUUGACAAAACUUUCUUAGACUAUGAGAAACUAACGUGUUGCAGUCGCAGAGAUAUUAGGGGAAAUUGUAAUCCUCUCAUAUACUCAUAUACUCAUAAAUCCAUGUUGUGCGAACUGGUGUUAUCUCGAUUUGGACAUGUACGAGUCCGAUGAUGUUGUAUCAUUAAUUUUCGGGGUACAGACCUACAGCGUAUGUUUGGGCCAUGAGUAUUCGGACUUCUUAUAACAAAAAACGAGUCAAAUGAAUUAUACUUUUCUUAAUCCGUUUUUCUUAAUCCGUUUGUGUGCAUGUUCGGCUACCACUACUUUCAGCUUCUUUUUCUAAAAGUCGGUUUCUACUUUUCUUUUUUUUGACCUGUAUGUGUAAAAAAUCAGAAAUACUUAUAAAAAGUUGAGAAUGCUAGCUUUUGUUUUAGGACUUCUACUUCUUUCUUAAACAACUUAAUCAUUUAUAAGUAGCCAAACAACCCUCAUAAAGAAAAAACACUUCUAGUAAGUUCCUUGAGAAGUAUGAAGUUUAAAAAGUUGUUUUUUUUUUCCAACUUUUACUUCUUUUCUAUCUUUUAUAUGGAGGUUAUGAUUUAUAAGUUAUUGAAAGUGUUUGAAUGAUAAUUUAACAUGAAUAUUUAGUAAUGUAAAUUAUAAAUUAAGGAUUACUGAAAAUACAAGAUACAAUACAAAGUUAAACACACUACGAUAAUUUUGGCACCUGUCAACUUUCUAAUUUCAGAUGCUUAUCUUCGUUCACUAGGUGGUUAUGAUGAUAAUAUGAUGAACAGAUAUCCGAUGGAGCUGCAGAACGUCCAUUUCCAUUCUCCUCUUCAAUUUAAUGGUCCUUCAUUCCAUCUUCGGAGCCAUUUGGACAGUUCUUCACAACAAACUCAGCCACCACAGAGUGAUAACAUAAUGGCCCUUGCCGAAUGGUUGUGCCAUCACUACCAUCACUUUGUAGUUGCGAGCACCGUGAUCAGCGAGAUAAGCCGCUAGUUCAUUAGCAUUUUUGUCACAUAGUAACCUCCAUUUCAAAGUUGUGAUGGUGCAUUUACAACGGUUUUAACUUACAAACAAAUCAUAUUCAAAUUUUAUUUUAUUAAAAAUUUUGAUUUAUUAUUUAUAAAUUAAAUUUUUUCACACCAUUUAAAAUAUAUUUAAAAAAUUUAUAAAUAAUUAAAAAGCUCCCGUGCCUUGCACUCUAUAUUUUCCGUCAUAAAUAUCCAGUUUUGUUGUAGUGAUAUACGGAUCUCCUAUCUAAUCCCAAGUGAAUACGUGCCGAUUGAAUUACGCGUACACUCACACUCGCUAGCGGGCGUCUAUGGGUUCACCAUAAGAUCACGGACAUGGCUGUGGUCGGUUCUUUGUAUUGAAAUUUCACACUGGAAACUUCCUGCUGAAAAUCAAUGACAAUCUGUGAGCGUCUAAAGCUGUAAUGCUCUUUGCAUGCAUACAUCAAAUUUCCCGAGUGUCUCAACACAUUCUCACUAGAUGUAUUGCAUAAUUGCAUUGCCCUGCCAAACGAGGUGAUGUUUAGGCGCAAUAGGCUCUGGUUAGUACUAAUUUCGGGCUCGUUCGGGCCUUUGUGGCUCCACGAACCAAUGUCCAAUAAUCUUUAUAAAUUUAAUGAUUGAACACUUUACCAGGGGUAUGAUUUUUUCCUUCAGUGAAUCAAGGAUGAUGAAAAAUUGACAACAAACUUUUAUGAGUGCAUGCUUGUGGGUGUAGAAUCCAUUACACAAAAUGGGCCCAAAAUCAAGUGCCAAUCGGGACUGAAACAAGAAUAGCCUACAACAAGUCAUUUCAUAGCAACCAAAAACUUUCUUUAAGCUUUUCUUUUGACCCUUCACCUUUCAGCCCUUUUGAGGUUUUUUGCUAAUGCUUUUCCAAGUUUUUAUUCCAUCUCUUGUAUGUGCAAGUGCGAUGCUGCUCUUUUUCACAUUACUAUUUGCACUUUCAGUAGUAAAGGACAAGCUACAUUUUAUGAAGCACUUUAAUUUUCAGUCAAUCUUAUUAAUUAAUAUAAUAUAAUUUGAACCAUGAUGAAGAUUAAAGGAAUAUGUGAUCAUGAGACCUAAUCAAACUCAUUAGUCCUAUAUUGUAUUAGUCCUAUAUUGUCAAUAAUUAUAAAACCAUCAUUAACAAGAUCUCAAGGGACAGUAAAGACAUGUGUGCGUGAGUAUCUGAAUUUCCGUGUUCGUUUUUGAGAUAAAAUAAAAUGAAGCUUAAACCCUAGCUCCUGUAUGAAGACUAAGGUAGGGAUUACUGUUUGAUUGUGAUUUGUGAUAGUAGAAGACAGGUUUGACAGACCAGGUCCCAUGACUUGCACCACAUCCAUCCACUCUGCCUCUUGUUUUUUACUUAUGUUUGAAAAAACAAGUUAUUUUAUACAAACAGCUAGAGUAUAAGUUGUACAACUAUUUAAGUACUAGUGACCAUUAAAUGCACAACACUCUACUUGACUUUCUCAUAUAUCUAAAGUUCUAAACUUCUUCUUUUCAUGCAUAAGAAAAGCCACACAAAGAUGACAUUACUUUCUCAGAUUGGUGACCAUUCAUAACAUAGUCUACCCUACCUCAAGCACACUACCAAAUUUCACUCAGUGUUGUGUGUGUGUGUGUGUGUGUGUGUUCGUGGGCAAGAAUCAAGAGUAUCAGAAGUUAAUCAUUUGAGAUAAAAACAGCAGAUUUGGAUCAGCUUUCUGGGGAUACAUGUAAGUUACUACUACAUCUUUCUUGUUUACACUGUUCAUGAAGAGCAGAGGAAGCAGGUUUCUUGUUGUUACAAGAUUAAUGAUUCUUGGAUUCUUCUUAGUUUCUGCUAUGGUUUCUGUUUGGUUCUUGUCAUUUUCUGUUGGAUAUACUUUGAAGCAUUUAAUAUUGUGUUGCAGUGAUAUUUUUUUCAAGAAAGUAGGGCCCAGAGAUGCUGUGACCACCUCUAGUCCUUCAGUGCAUGCUCCUAUUUUUUAGCUGCUCAAUUCCACACUAGAGUGUUUACCUCAGAACAGAAGUUUUCUAACAGGUAGUUAUGUAUUUCCAAGUUCCAACUUACUGUUUAAGGGUCAUUAUGUUCAUUCCCAAGUUGCUUUAUUAGGCAGAGAAUUAUAAAUUUCUUGGCUUCUAAUAUAAAAUUUAUUCAAAGAUAUUGUUUUUAAAUUUAGAACAAGAGGAAUAUAUCAUUGUUUUGAAGUGAAAGUAAGAGUGAUAAAAUGUUGUUACUAGUGCACAAGAUUCAUGAAGGUCUUAUGCUCGAGUAGGUUUAAAGUAGACACUUGAUUAUCGAGUCAGUCAUGACGUUUGAGUGAGAGUAGUUAGUUAAAGAUAUUAUAUAUGUAUACACCAGUCACCAUGCUAAUGUAUCAAAGUUUGGCUCUUCUUAGUGACAGUGGUUCCACCAAGAAAACAAUGGAGGAGGAUAAGCUGAAAGUCAUCUUCAAAGCUUCUGGUUAUCCUAAUUUGGUGAGAACUGAUCCCUUUCUCUUAUUUUUGUGUGGUGAUUCUAUCAUAUUCUGGAUAUUCCAUAAGUUUGUCUGUUCUUUAUUAUGUCUUUUUAGUUUUUAUCCUUUAGUGAAUAACUUAUCUCUGAGGUGCUAUUCAGCUGUUAUCUCUUACUUGUUUGAGCAUCUGUUUUUAUUUAUGUAUAUAUGCAUUUAUUGGUUUUUAUUUACAUAAUUCUUUUUUCAUAAUAGCCAAUGGGAGAGAUGAACUUUAAUGAGGCCAGAAAGAGGCAAUUUCAAAGUAUUGAUACUCAACAUACUGUAAUGGAAAAGGUAGACACACAAUCAUCCUUCUGCAUAAUGCUGCUUAAAUUUCUUAGAGGUAGUACACUUCAUGAUUUGUGUAUUGGGUGAAAAAUUUGCAUAUAUUUUAGCAAUCUUGCAAGAGAAAUGAUUGAGUUAGUUUUUUCAGCCAAUAUCAAGUAUGCUUUAUAUAAUUGUUUUUCCCUAAACUCAGCCUGCUGAAGAUAUAAUAAAGGAGAUUGCUAUUCUGGAGAUGGAAGUCAAGAAUUUGGAGAAAUAUCUUCUUUCGAAGUACAGGAAAACCUUUGAGAAAACCGCAUCAUCUUAUCCUGCAAUGGAAACCAUGUCAAAAACAAAUGCAGACAAUCUGGACUGUAAUUCUACAAAACAUGUAGUAAAGGAUAGUUCCAUGCUUGAUUCAACAUCUUCACGGUUUCCCCCCGCUGUAAUAAGUGAUCCAGGCAAUAAUUUUAGCGGCAUCUUGAGAGUUCAGCCACUGCUGGAUUCUAGCAUUCAGUACCGUAGUCACUCUUCCCUAUCUCAGUCUGCAGCUUGCUCUUAUAAAAUUUCUCCUCCUAGAGCAACUAACGCUGAAGCUAUCCACUCGUUCCACUCCUUGCCGUUGUCAAUGCUAGAGGUAAUUACUGUAUAUAGAAGUUGUCAAAUGUUUUUUGUAUUGUUGCCAAAAGCUUGGUCUGUCUUGUAUUCGUCACUAACAGAUGUUAAUUUCCCAAUAAUUUUGAUCAGCGUGCUCAAGAUUCAUCAAGUGUUAGUCUUGCAGAGCAUCUUGCUACAGUUAAGUCCUUUGAUCAUGUCAGGGAAACACCGAAUAGGCUUUCUGAGGAAAUGGUCAAGUGCAUUACAUCGAUAUAUAGCCAACUUGCUGAACCCCCUUUGUUAAGUCAUGGUUUACCUACAUCUCCGAUGUCAUUCUCAUCGUCGAUGAGUGACUCUCCUCCGCAAGUCCAUUAUUAUGAUAGGAGGAGUCCUCAAAACAGAGAAAGCUCAUCAUUCAGUAAAUGGAUUAGCAAACCUUUUCAUGUUGAAGAUUCAAGUGAAUUAAGUGGAACUUACUCUACAGUGACUGAGAUUCAGGGACUUUGUAGAGAUGCUUGGAGAUUGAAAGGAGUUGAACAUAUGCUGCAACAUUUUAGGUUAGUGCUUGAAUACUUACUUUUACACUAGAUUGCAUAUGCACAUACAACGUUUCCUAUGCCUUGGGACCUCAGUCCUCAGAUUUGUUAUGUGAAAAACUAGUUUUAUGAUUGAUUAGGGUUCUAUCCUACAGUCUGCACUCUGCAGAGUACCCUAUUUUUCUGCAUUAUGUACAAAAUAUGGUCUAGAUCUUAUAUCUGAAGAUUAGUAUUGCACGAUUUCAAGGGUAAGAAAACAUUAGACAUCCCAUCUUCUGAAACCAACACUAAUUCAUAGAUCUUUGGGUUUUGAUUACCAAGGAAUAGAAACUUUACAAAUAAAACCCGAGGAUUGGCAUUCCAUUGCUGUCAUUUUACAAGGCCUGGAGCCUGAACACUAUCUAGCAAUGUACGCGUUUCAUUCUUUGCUUAAAAGGUUACAUGUCUAAUAUUUCUGAUGUCUGCAGGUCCCUUGUCUCUCAGUUGCAAGAAGUUGAUCCUAGAAAGCUAAAACAUGAGGAGAAGUUAGCUUUCUGGAUUAAUGUACACAAUGUGCUAGUAAUGCAUGUAAUAAUAUACCACUCCCUAAAUAUAUUAUGUUGUUUGUUUUCUUUUUCUGUAUUGUUAUUUCCAGAAACCUUAUUAACCCCAUAAACAUGCAUUGUUUCAGGUCUUCCUGGUGAAUGGAAUCCCACGAAGUAAUCUCAAGAGGACCUCCUUACUCUUGAAGGUAAUAUAAUAGGCUCAGUCAAGUGUAAUUUUGCAAACAAGACCGCAUAUUUUUGAUUUCAUUAGCUAAGAACUCGUGCAUUCUCCAGGCUUCUUAUGAUAUUGGAGGCCAUACCAUAAGUGUUGACAUGAUACAAUGUUCAAUACUAAGAUGUCGUCUGCCUCGCCCUGGUCAAGUAUAUUUCCUGCCUUGCACGAUUGCUUUAUUAGAUAUUCGAUUCAUGUACGAUGGUAUUUAUCAAAGGCUAAUGAAAAUCUCAAUCCUCUCACAGUGGUUUCAGUCAUUGUUAUUCCCGAAGUCAAAAUUCAAGGCUGGAGAUGCAAGAAAAGCAUACGAGAUAAGGCGUCCCCAACCUCUCCUAAAGUUUGCUCUAACCUCAGGAAGCUACUGUGAUCCCAUGGUAAAGUCUAUCCACAUUUCCUCUUGCUCUAAGUUCAGAAACACCAUGCAGGCCCGGCCCUGACGGAGGGCAUCCAGGUCGACCGCCCAGGGUCCAAAAAAUUUAGGGGCCCAAAAAUUAUAUAAUUCAUGCAUUUGUUACUAAUAUCCAUCGAUAACUUAAACUUUCUAUUAAAUUUAUGUAUUGUUUUAACUUCCGUGUGUGCACGUCCCUGCCUAAAUUAAUAUCAAUUGAUCUCUUAACUAAUGCACAUGCACUCACAAGUAAUGAGUAAAUAUCAUCAAGUAUCCGUUUAAUCUUUGUUUUUUACAUCCAAUGCACACUAACUCACUAAUCACCUACGCAUAAAACACAAGUUAAUUAAAUAUAUAUACACUCACACUAUAUGAUAUAUAUUCUCAAUAUAUUCCUAAUUUUGGGAAAGAAUAGGGCCCAUUUUUUCGUUUCGCCCUUGGGCCCUCAAAACGCAUGGAACGGCCCUGACACCAUGGACCUGAAACCACUCACUGCUUUUCUGCAGGUCCGGAUAUACACACCAAAGAAGCUUUUCCAAGAACUUGAAAUGGCAAAGGAAGAGUACAUCCAGACUACGUGCAAAAUUCAGAACGAGCGGAAGAUAUUCCUACCAAAGAUUGUGGACUCUUACGCAAAGGAGUCGGGGUUAUGCUCAGCUAGUCUAUUUAAGAUGAUUGAGCAUUCGACAUCGUGCUAUAUGCUGCAGAACAGCUUUCAUCAGCCUCUUCAAGAAAAUAAGCUCUCCAAGAAAAUUGAAUGGAUCCCUCAUAACUUUGCUUUUCGGUAUUUGUUUGCACCAGAACUAGCCAGUAAAUAAAGAUACUGUACUUUAUAAGGGUUUAGUGGAUUCUUUGUUCUGUAUCAUCUGUUUCACUCCAUGUACUGGUUUCAGGUGAAGCCAAACCAAAAACACGAGUAUUCACAAUGUCUCACUCGGAAAUUAGGUUGUGAGAUGAACGCAGACCAUGCCCCCGUGUGUAAACUUUAAUUAGUAUUAUGUAAAUAGUUCUUACGCGACACGACAGUACAUGAGAUGAGGCAGAACCUGGAACAGAAGAUCUGAAGUGAAAGUUGUUAUGGUAGUUUUAGUUAAAUCAGAUUAUUGAUAGCAACCUUUUGCAUAUUCCUUAUGAUGAAGUGAAAGUAUCAGAAUCAUCAACCCAUUUUACACUCAUCAACUUCAACUGUUCCAUCAUCAGAAUCAUCAACCCAUUUUACACCGUUUUACACUUUCAUUACCUUUUACAUCUCUUAUUUCAUCCUCUAUUAUUAUACUCCCUCCGUCUCAAUUUAUAGGUCCAGUUUGGAAAAAAAAAUUGUCUCAAAAUACUUGUUCUUCUCUUCUUUCAAUACAAAUUUAUCUACAUAUUAAUUGUGAUUUUUUUGAAACUCAACAUUAUUCUCAUUUCUCAAUGCACUAAAUCCCUAUAUUUAUUGUGAUUUUUUUGAAACUCAACAAUAUUCUCACUUAUCAAUGCACUAAUUAAUGAUACAUGAGAUACGAUUCUAUCUAACCAACUUUUUUUUAAGAUGUGUGUUUAUUCCAAAAUGGACAACGGAGGGAGUACUUUUAGAUGUGAUUUCGAAACUCGGAACAUGAUUUGAUUAGUUUGCCCUGAUGUCGUGGUAGAAUACAAUAACGCUAGUAUAAAACAUUUUCAUUGAAUGAUCUAAAUUCUAUAACAAGCAACAACCAUGUGAUCCAAAAAUAAAUUUACGAUUCAAUUAUUAUUAUUAUAUUUUAAUUUUUAGUAAACUGAAUAAAUUUUAUUUAAUUUCAUUAUAGAUCAUAAUAAUAACAUGAACAAUUAUAUUAUAAUAACUAAAAUAUAUUCGGAUAAAGAUAAAAAUUAUAAAACAUAUUUAAAAAAUAAAUGCUACAUAAAAAAUAGUUAAAGAACACAAUAUACUAAUCAUGAAAAUUUACAUAUUCUUUCUGCAUAUGGAAUUAGUGUAUUUUGAAGUAUAAAGAUCAACAUUUUGAGGUCAUUUGUUAAAUCUGAACGUCUUUUGAAUGAUUAAAAAUUAUGGAUGAAUGAGAAAUAUAAAUCGGAUAUAUGAAAACUUGUUCGCACAACAUCACGCAAACAUACGCGGUCACAAGUAUUAUAUGAUAAAGUAGAGUUAGUUGGAGUUGGGACUGGGUUCAUAAGAAAUAUGCACUUAUUCAACAAUGUAUGAUUAUUAUUUACUGCUAAGACAAAUAUCAAAUUUGUCAUUGGUUAUCUAAAGUAACUAUGCCGGAAUGAAUUAACUAUGAGAUUAAAAAUCAAGUUACUUUUAUCACAAUCCUCCUCUUCUCUCCCUCAAAACCCUAGCCUCCCUAGCCUCCGUCAAAGAUUUUUGAAGGGGCUUCCAUCAGUUUUCACUGGCGGAAAGCCCCGAUUCCCUUUUUUUUCCUGUUUUCUUGUUUUGAAAUCUUAUUUCUCAUUCAAUAAGUUCCCAAUUUAUUUGGGUUUUGUUAGUCUCUCCUUCUUGUGAGAGUUGGUUUGUUUUGAGUUUGGUGUGUUAUGAUAUUUUUCAUGACCGAGGUUAUAGAUCGGCAUGAUUUUCAUGGGUUUGAUUCAGAUUUGAAGGUUAUCAUGGGAUCACAUCUAUGGUCGAUUGUUCAGAACACUCAGGUGAAAACCAAUCAGAUGGAAACAAGUGUGUAUAUUCAAAUCAUCUUUAAAUCGCUCAGUUGCCUCUCCAAGAAGGAAGGAUUCAACAACGAUAUUUUUCAGCGUCUGUCCAAUUUCGAUUGUGUUUGUAGAUGCCGUAUGGCUUUUAAUUAAUGAAUUGAUUCCUUUUUAUCAAAAAAAAAAAUCAAGUUACUUUUUUUUUUUUUU
rnacentral:lncRNA from 1 species